CCUACGGGAUGCAGCAGUGAGGAAUAUUGGUCAAUGGACGAGAGUCUGAACCAGCCAAGUAGCGUGAAGGAUGACUGCCCUAUGGGUUGUAAACUUCUUUUAUAUGGGAAUAAAAUGUUCCACGUGUGGGAUUUUGUAUGUACCAUAUGAAUAAGGAUCGGCUAACUCCGUGCCAGCAGCCGCGGUAAUACGGAGGAUCCGAGCGUUAUCCGGAUUUAUUGGGUUUAAAGGGAGCGUAGGUGGAUUGUUAAGUCAGUUGUGAAAGUUUGCGGCUCAACCGUAAAAUUGCAGUUGAAACUGGCAGUCUUGAGUACAGUAGAGGUGGGCGGAAUUCGUGGUGUAGCGGUGAAAUGCUUAGAUAUCACGAAGAACUCCGAUUGGGAAGGCAGUUCACUGGACUGCAACUGACACUGAGGCUCGAAAGUGUGGGUAUCAAACAGGAUUAGAUACCCGAGUAGUC
rnacentral:rRNA from 1 species